UACGUAGGGGGCAAGCGUUGUCCGGAAUCAUUGGGCGUAAAGAGCGUGUAGGCGGCUCGGUAAGUCCGCUGUGAAAGUCCAGGGCUCAACCCUGGAAUGCCGGUGGAAACUGUCGAGCUAGAAUCCGGAAGAGGCGAGUGGAAUCCUGGUGUAGCGGUGAAAUGCGCAGAUAUCAGGAGGAACACCAAUGGCGAAGGCAGCUCGCUGGGACGGUAUUGACGCUGAGACGCGAAAGCGUGGGGAGCAAACAGG
rnacentral:rRNA from 1 species